CCCUAACUUCUCUCAAUCCACAACCCAUCCCCCUCAAAGCGCGGCUCACGCCGUCUCCCUUUCAUCUGCUAUUUUCUCCCAUCUCUCUUCUGUAACGACGUGAACGAAUUCAUCGAGGAGAUCAAAAACCUCACCCUCCAGGCCUACCAUCUCGACCGGCCAAAUGGGGCGUAACCUUCUAGCAGCACAAUCGCUCUUCGGCCUCUUUCCCGGCGUACACGGCGGUGCUCGAUCCACAACCUGUACAUCUCUCCCGCCCCUCUCUCCCUCUCUCUAACUCUCUCGCCAGAUCUGUCCGAUCUAUCUUCCAUCUCCGUGGCUAGGAGACGAUUAAGGGUGUACACGGAUUCGGAGCCAUUGUCGAGUCCGUCGCCGCCGCCAAGAUCUGAAGCCAUCCAGUUGCAGGUUUUGCUUUUAUUAUGCUUUUAUGACAUUCAGGGAAUAAGAUGCGAUGAAGUGCCUAAUGAAGUUGGAUUCAUGCUACAGUAGUCUAGACUUUAUGUCACUAUAUAUUAAUAUAGAUAAUUGUAGAUAACUAUAGUCACCUGUAGUAACAUAUAGUUAUAUGUAUGUUAUAGGUUUUUUAAUGUGUUCAUGUUUGAAGAAUAUAUGCAUGUGAUUGUAUUUUUUUUAUUUUUUGUUUGUUAGUUGAUUUAUAAUAUCAAGAUCUAA